GGUCAGGGCGAGGCCAGAGCCCUGGAAAGCAAAAGGGAAAGGCAGGCCUGAUGUGGAGAAACCGAGGCAAAUCACGAUGCCUCCAGGCGGCUGUCGGGACGCCGGCCCGGGGCUCCCGAGGCGGGACCUCCGCCUGCCGCCACCACUCACCACGCUGAUGACACCCCAUUAGCAGUAAUGGGGUUGCCAGGGCCUCGCAAUGACUUGGCCCAGGUCACGUACAAGGGCCGGAAUCCUCACCCCAGCUGUAGCCUUGAUGUCGGAAGUUCAGUGGGGCACUGGUGGGACCUGAACUUCCCAGCUCCCUGUGCUUGAGUGAGACGAUGUGACUAGUUCUACCCAAUGACCUGGAAGCGGAAGGGACAUGUAGUCAUUUGGGGGCAGGAGACUGUCAGUGUGAGACCCUUCUCGGUGGCACGGCCACUGGGAGUGUUUGGGAGGGUGGCCGUGCCGUCAGCCCCGGCGCCUGCAGUGAGCACAGCGCCUCUCACCCCCGCCCCCGACGGCCUGAGAUGUCCACUGACCAUGGCAAGACAUAAACGUUUGUGAUUUGAAGGCA